rnacentral:rRNA from 1 species
AUACGGAGGGUGCAAGCGUUAUUCGGAAUCACUGGGCGUAAAGGACGCGUAGGCGGGUUGGCAAGUCAGAUGUGAAAUCCUACAGCUUAACUGUAGAACUGCAUUUGAAACUGCUAACCUAGAGUAUGGGAGGGGGAGAUGGAAUUAGUGGUGUAGGGGUAAAAUCCGUAGAUAUCACUAGGAAUACCGAAAGCGAAGGCGAUCUCCUGGGACAUAACUGGCGCUAAGGCGUGAAAGCGUGGGGAGCAAACAGGAUUAGAAACCCUUGUAGUCC